AUUGAACGCUGGCGGCAGGCUUAACACAUGCAAGUCGAGCGAGCGGAGAACGGGUGAGUAAUGUCUGGGACACUGCAUGAUGGAUGGGGAUAACUACUGGAAACGUUCGCUAAUACCGCAUACCUUCAGAUGUGCCCAGAGGGGAUUAGCGAGUAGGUGGUGUAAUGGCUCACCUAGGCGACGAUCCCUAGCUGGUCUGAGAGGAUGACCUGGCAAGCUGGAGCUGAGACACGGACCAGGAGCGUUCGGUAGUCGGCAGGGGGGAAGAUUGCACAGUGGGUGAAAAUCUGAUGCAGCCAAGCCGCGUGGGUGAAGAAGGCCUUCAUGUUGUAAAGCACUUUUAGCGUGUAGGCGUUACUCGUUUAAGAAGCACCGGCUGACUCCGUGCCAGCAGCCGCGGUAAUUC
rnacentral:rRNA from 1 species